rnacentral:rRNA from 1 species
GGGUGAAAGGCCAAUCAAACCGGGAGAUAGCUGGUUCUCCCCGAAAGCUAUUUAGGUAGCGCCUCGUGAAUUCAUCUCCGGGGGUAGAGCACUGUUUCGGCUAGGGGGCCAUCCCGGCUUACCAACCCGAUGCAAACUGCGAAUACCGGAGAAUGUUAUCACGGGAGACACACGGCGGGUGCUAACGUCCGUCGUGAAGAGGGAAACAACCCAGACCGCCAGCUAAGGUCCCAAAGUCAUGGUUAAGUGGGAAACGAUGUGGGAAGGCCCAGACAGCCAGGAUGUUGGCUUAGAAGCAGCCAUCAUUUAAAGAAAGCGUAAUAGCUCACUGGUCGAGUCGGCCUGCGCGGAAGAUGUAACGGGGCUAAACCAUGCACCGAAGCUGCGGCAGCGACACUAUGUGUUGUUGGGUAGGGGAGCGUUCUGUAAGCCUGUGAAGGUGGCCUGUGAGGGUUGCUGGAGGUAUCAGAAGUGCGAAUGCUGACAUAAGUAACGAUAAAGCGGGUGAAAAGCCCGCUCGCCGGAAGACCAAGGGUUCCUGUCCAACGUUAAUCGGGGCAGGGUGAGUCGACCCCUAAGGCGAGGCCGAAAGGCGUAGUCGAUGGGAAACGGGUUAAUAUUCCCGUACUUGGUGUUACUGCGAAGGGGGGACGGAGAAGGCUAUGUUGGCCGGGCGACGGUUGUCCCGGUUUAAGCGUGUAGGUGUGUGUUCCAGGUAAAUCCGGUUCACUUUAACACUGAGGCGUGAUGACGAGGCACUACGGUGCUGAAGCAACAAAUGCCCUGCUUCCAGGAAAAGCCUCUAAGCAUCAGGUAACAUCAAAUCGUACCCCAAACCGACACAGGUGGUCAGGUAGAGAAUACCAAGGCGCUUGAGAGAACUCGGGUGAAGGAACUAGGCAAAAUGGUGCCGUAACUUCGGGAGAAGGCACGCUGACAUGUAGGUGAAGUGAUUUACUCAUGGAGCUGAAGUCAGUCGAAGAUACCAGCUGGCUGCAACUGUUUAUUAAAAACACAGCACUGUGCAAACACGAAAGUGGACGUAUACGGUGUGACGCCUGCCCGGUGCCGGAAGGUUAAUUGAUGGGGUCAGCGCAAGCGAAGCUCCUGAUCGAAGCCCCGGUAAACGGCGGCCGUAACUAUAACGGUCCUAAGGUAGCGAAAUUCCUUGUCGGGUAAGUUCCGACCUGCACGAAUGGCGUAAUGAUGGCCAGGCUGUCUCCACCCGAGACUCAGUGAAAUUGAACUCGCUGUGAAGAUGCAGUGUACCCGCGGCAAGACGGAAAGACCCCGUGAACCUUUACUAUAGCUUGACACUGAACAUUGAGCCUUGAUGUGUAGGAUAGGUGGGAGGCUUUGAAGUGUGGACGCCAGUCUGCAUGGAGCCGACCUUGAAAUACCACCCUUUAAUGUUUGAUGUUCUAACGUGGACCCGU